ensembl:lncRNA
GUAUCAUCAUCUCCCCUCUUCUUCUUUUCUUUGAACACAUCUGCAUCAAUGCCCUGCAGGUGUGAGCGUGUGCCACACAUGGGCAGGUGUUGAAGAGUUCAGCGAUCAGAUGCUACAUGCAUAGAAGCUUAUACGUGCACUGGCCUGCAUAUCAGCCCAGACUACAUUAAUGCUUGGAUAAUUAGUAUCCCAGCCUCUUGUCGCUCACCUCGCACCUUCCCGUAUAGGGCUUGGCCUGUUCAAACACCAUUAACUGUUAGAAGUUAGCUGGAUUUGAUAUGUACAGUACAAAUUUUAAUGCAACAAGUUGGAAAUCAAUGCUGAAGUAUCUUUAGAUGGAUUUAUAUCCAUCAUAUUCUUGAUUUUAUUGCCCUUAUUGGAGUCCUUAUAACAUAUAAAAAAACUGAAUUCAAGAGAAUUAACAAUUAAUUCAAGAUACAUUUUCUAAAACCAAGUAUUAUCUUGCAGAAUUUUGCUUGUUUUAAUGAUGUUUGGAUAUUUUAUUGGAAAACAGGACAAAACCAAGGUUUAUGCAGUGUAUUACCCUCAUUGGAAUGAAGGAGGGGAGGAGCCAGGCUCUGUAGCUGAGGUGUCCUACUAUUCUUACGAGUAUGACCCAGACACUGACAGCUUUUCACCAGAGAGUGAGGAGAAGAUAAUUCCUAUAGGAGAAGAAGAGGAGGCGGCAGACACCAAACAAUUGGGUGGACAUAUCCUCACAGUGGACACAAAGGACUCACCUGAGCGAUGAGACCCCUGUCCGUCAGCAGCAAGUGCGGGAGCUCCACAUUGUACAUUCUCUGUGAAUAUGUUUGUGUGUAAGAAAGGCUGGUAAAGAGCGGUGGACCCAGUCUGUUGCAACGAGAUGACAGCUGUAUGUGUGUGUUUGGAAAGAGAGAUAAUAUCAGUUCUCCUCUCUUUUAUUUUUUAAAAUUCAUUUCCAUAGCUCUUUACGUUUAGUGAUGGUAUGAUGUCUCCCUGUAUUCCUCUUAAGUCAGUUUCUUGUAAUCUAGUUUUAAUAGUCUAGUAUUUAUGUUUGUAAGUAUAAUUUACCUAAAAAUCAAAUACUGUGUUUUUGUUUUCUAUCUGUGGUAUUUAUUUGUGGCUAGUGCCUUUGUUUGUUCGGUUAUUUUUUAUUUUUUGUCAAUUCCUCAGUCAGCUCCUCCCUUCUUUCUGAACACAAUCUACUGGUGUGGUUUUACAACCCGUUAAAAUGUGCUGUAAUGGACCGUGCACUUCCAGAGCAGAAAAAACGCACAAAAUUGUGUGUAAGGUGUGUAGCUACUAUUUUGACUUAUUGACAUCUGACUUACUCAUUGGAGAGGAGACUGCAACUGGUAAAUAAGCUUCUUUCCCAGUCACCCUAUGUUAAAUUAGUCUGCGUCACAGAAAAUAAACUCUCUUACACAAACUGGAAUAUGAUUUGUACAGAAUAUAAGCUAUUUUGACUAAACCUCCAUGCAAAAUGAAAAUCGGCAGGCCCAUAUGAAAUCUGCACUUUUAAACAGAAUGCCUCUAAUGUGAUUAUUCAAGUUCACUGAAUAAUUUGGUUUAAUUUAAUGAUGCGUUAAGGUACCAAUAAGAGUUUAUUACUCUCAAGGCCCAUGUAACAAACUUUACUGUAUUUAAAUUCCCCUAAAAUAAAUGCAGAAAAAUGCAGAUAUGCAAAGUGGCCUAUGUGACAUUUGAAAAUUACUGUAAAUUUGAAUGAACUUAAAAUGAAUUUAACCUUCAAUGAUAUCACAUUUGGAAGAAAGUCAAUGAGAAUAAACUUUGUAUGCAAU